rnacentral:rRNA from 1 species
GACGAACGCUGGCGGCGUGCCUAACACAUGCAAGUCGAACGGAGUAACCCGCUGAUUUGAAGGUAGCUUGCUACUGAAUUUUCUUGGAUUACUUAGUGGCGGACGGGCGAGUAACGCGUGAGCAACCUGCCCUUCAGAGGGGAACAACAGUUGGAAACGACUGCUAAUACCGCAUAACGUCGUUUGAGGGCAUCCCUAGACGACCAAAGAUUUAUCGCUGAAGGAUGGGCUCGCGUCCGAUUAGAUAGUUGGUGGGGUAACGGCCUACCAAGUCGACAAUCGGUAGCCGAACUGAGAGGUUGAUCGGCCGCAUUGGAACUGAGACACGGCCCAGACUCCUACGGGAGGCAGCAGUGGGGGAUAUUGCACAAUGGAGGGAACUCUGAUGCAGCAACGCCGCGUGAGGGAAGAAGGUCUUCGGAUUGUAAAGCUCUAUCAGCAGGGAAGAAAAAUAACCAAAUUGACUGUACCUGACUAAGAAGCCCCGGCUAACUACGUGCCAGCAGCCGCCGUAAGAC